UCCUAGUGUAGCGGGGAAAUGCGUAGAUAUUAGGAGGAACACCAGUUGCGCAUGCAGCCCUCUGGACCGUAACUGACGCGGAGGCGCGAAAGCGUGGGGAGCAAACAGGUUUAGAUACCCAGGUAGUCCACGCUGUAAACGAUGAGUACUAUGUGUCGGGGGUUACCCCCUUCGGUGCCGCAGCUACCGCAUUAAGUACUCCGCCUGGGACGUACGCUCGCAAGAGUUAAACUCAAAGGACUUGACGGGGACCCUCCCAUGUAGCCGCGCCUGUCGUUUAAUUCAAAUCAAAUCGACGACCCUUACCCACGCUUGACAUCUCCAUUACAUCUCCUUCAUCGCACAGUACCAUUCGCGGACCUUUUAGACCGCUGUGGCAUGGUGAUCGUCCUCCCGUUUCGACAGAUGUUG
rnacentral:rRNA from 1 species